rnacentral:rRNA from 1 species
UACGUAGGUGGCGAGCGUUAUCCGGAAUUACUGGGUGUAAAGGGUGUGUAGGCGGGUAAGGAAGUCAGGCGUUAAAACUAUGGGCUCAACCCAUAAGCGCGCUUGAAACUCCUUGUCUUGAGUGCGGGAGAGGUAAGCGGAAUUCCCAGUGUAGCGGUAAAAUGCGUAGAUAUUGGGAGGAACACCAGUGGCGAAGGAGGCUUACUGGACCGCAACUGACGCUGAGACACGAAAGCGUGGGGAGCAAACAGG